CAAACAUAUUUUUCUGAAAGGAAAAAACACCCUUUGGCUGAACUGUCAGAUCUCUGCAGUCUAAAAGUUCAGGCAGCUUUUCUUUGGGCAAUAUUAGAGCCACAAUGGGCUGUUCCACGCAACGCUUUGUGUACCAACCUUUGCAAUCUUUGUUACAAAAGGAAAAAUGGCAUUAAUCUCCAGCAGAUACCACCGGCAAGGUAAAAAGAUGUCAUCAAAGCUAAGAAUGCUUUAAAACUACAAUGGAGGAAAAAUGGGUAGAAAAUACUUCUGAAAAGAUGUCUCCCACUGAUAAAAAGGUAAGUGUCAUCCUUCCCUUCCUUCAUUCAGAUCCUGUGGUCUCCAAGACCCUGAGAAUUCAAACAGGUAAUAUGACUGAAUCAUCUAACUACAGUGCAAGGGAGCUCUUGUUUUCAGUCAUGUCAGUAAGCGUCAGCAGUGUGUCAGAAUCUGUUCUUUUCCUAUUUAUAACCUGACAAAUGGAAUCUUCCAGUAUAUGUAAUAUAUUCACAAGGUUAGGAGGAGGUUAGGAGGCAGAUGCGUGUUUUGGAACUUCCUAUCCACCAAACUAGCCUGUUCUAAUAAUUUAAGGUGUUGUCAAACCAAGUAAAAUGAUUCCCAUGAUGGUGCUGUGUAUGUGUCAGUUUCUACUGGAACAACGUAGUCUGCAUUUUGGCUGCUUAGGAUUGGAUUUUUAUAAUAUUUCUCCCCCUGUCCCGCUCCCACAUUGCAGUCAGCAUGAUCUUAUUUGAUCUGUACUGGCAAUAUAAAUGCAAGAAUGAGGACAUGUUUUAGCAGCCCCUUUAGCUUAUAUUGAUGACACUUUUAACCUGAGCCUUUUCAUUAGCACCCUACCAAAAUAUUUGGAUUGGAAUUUGUAUGGGAACUGUUGAAUCACAGCCUGAACCUUUGAUCGAUCUCCUGAGGCAAGCACUGAGUCAGUCACAGGACCACAGGUGAAGGCAAUUCACCUGUGUGAACAGAAGGGGUGUAGCCUGGCUGCACCUCUCCUAGACCUAGAUUUAAGGGCUGACUGCCACCAGGAAAGGAUCUGUUCCUGGAGAUCAUUUCCUUUGGAGUUUUUCUGUGAGCCCAGGAUACAGCAGUGCGCACAAGAUCUACGGGCAGUUAUCCUAGCUGAAAAUCAGAGCCAAGCUGCGGAAUGAAGACAGGAAAGCCCACUUCACAGAGGACAGGGAUGAAACCUCAUAAGUCAUCUGUCAGGGGGAGCUGAGCCCCAGCACGAUGUGAUGUGGAGGUGUGGUACGUGACAUCUGGGCACUCCCACUGCGCUGCUGGCUGCAGCCAUCUGAACGGGUGAAAUAAACCUCAGAGACAGCACAAUUAUGCACAUUUUAAGAUACAGAGAUUUAUAAAGCAUGAAGAAAAUUAUACUUUGAAGAUCUUUGCAGAGCUGUGAUUGUAAGAUCUAUGGAGGGAUAUAUGCAGCUGAUGUGUCCCUAUGGUUUGUAUUUCUUAGGGGCAAACCCCCGUACUUGCUCAAGAAAAAUAGCAGCACAUGCUGCUUGAAUAUCCAUCUUCAUGGGACAGUAUUUGUGGAAGAAAGAGUGGUAAAGAUGCUAGAAAAAAAGCUCAAAAAAUGGUGGGGAGUUGGCAGGUGGCUGCUGCUUGGGGACUGGUUGGGCAUCGGUUGGUGGGUGGUGAGCCGCUGCUUGUGCAUCAAUAGUUUUGUGUGUGUAUAUAUAUUUUAUAUUAUUAUUACUAUUAUUUUUUUACUUUGUAUUUUCUGUCUUGAUACAUAGUUUUUAUUUCAACCUGUGAGUUCUCGUUUUUUUUUCCCUUGUAUAUCCUUACCUGACUACAGAAAAGAAAAGAAUAUUCUGCUUUCUGCAGCUCCACAAGCAAAUCCCCAGUAGCGAUACCACCACUGCAGCCUUAGGCUUUUUGUCUGCUGCUGACCUGUCUCUCUGUUAUGUUGGUAGAAAGGUUUUGAGGGGCAACUUUAUCAGAUUUAGGCAGCAUUGCCCUCAUACAAAAGAUCAGCUAGGGCUGGACUGUUAAAGGGAUAUUGAUAGGUCCCUGAGUGCAGUGUCUCUUACAGAGCAGGGUUAGUUCUACCCAGACCUUCCCAACAGAUGGCUGUAGGGGCAUGCAUGAGCAGCUGCUGGAGGCCAUCUCCUCUUAAGUAAGAUGGAGUGUAAUUGGAGCUACAUCCCAGCAGCUCAGGCAUGACUGCUUGGAGAGGCUAAGAGACUGGAGAUAACACCUCAAAGGCCAGAGAGAAAAGCUGCUGUUCACCUCUCUGACAGACUGUGUUGCAUAUUGAGGUAUGACAGUAAACUUUCAAAACAAGCGUUUGAAAGUACCUUUCUGCUGCUCAUAAUCUGUCCUUUACCCCUUUAUGACCCAUAGAGGCUGUAUGAUGAAGGACUUUGCCACUCUAACCAACAAAUACGGAGUAGAAAACUGUAAAAUUAAGGGGAAAGAUCAAAAAGUUGAAGAUUCUUUUUUAUUGCUGUUUUCUGGCUAGUAAGGUUUUUUGGUGUAUUAUUCCCCAGACAACUAGAAUGUACAAACAAUGAAAAAGCCACGGACAGUUUUUUCCAGAAAUGUUUUCUGUCUUCUAUCUCCCAUCCCAUGCUCAGCUUCCCCAGUGGCAUACAACCAUUGCCCCUGCUGAAAGACUGUGGAGUUAACAGCUGAGCUGUACAUCCCUCUGUCUGGGUGGGUGGACAGUUGGAUCUCAGAUGGAUGAAAACUCAUUCCUAUGGUGAAACAGGAAAGGGUCAAGGUUGCUUCAGUCCCUUCCUGUUGGUUUUCCUCGUUCAAAACAGGGAAACUCAGAUCCGUCUGGGGAAUGACUUUUAGCAAAUAGUAGUAUUUGUAAGGUAACGUCUGAUACGUAUUGUAACAGCUGAUGGUUCUGUAUUUCCUCAAGGCGUUUGACUGUUUUCAAGUCAUUGUUAUGAAGAAUGUUUGCAGAAAAAACCUUGGCACUUGAUCUGAUUUCUCACAUUUCCCCCUCUGAACUCCACGCCCCUGAUGAAGAACCAGACAGGAACGGGACCGGCUGCUCUGUAUGGAGGAGGGCUACAGAGCAGUCUGUGAGAUGGUUCGCAUCACCACUUGCUGUACUGAAGGCAGCAGACAUAGAUGUUAAGCUCAGUGAAAAGAAACUGCAAUGCAGUGCAUCAGCAUCGGGAACAAUAAACAUAAAUCAGACACCUAAUAGUUCUUUCAGAGAAUUGAUUUAAAGUCUGGAUUAUUUCCCAUCCCGGGCAUGCAUCAUAUCCCCCAGCAGCAAACUGAAGGAUGUACCGUGACCCUAGUUACUACAGAAAUGUUCAUGGAUCAGAGACCCUGCAGUCAACCUUCUUGUUCUGACCAAUCAUUAACCAGGAGGAACAUUGUGGAGCUGCCGCUGCUUUUUCCUGAGUUACUUUAACAGACUGACCACAGGCAUGUUCCUUCGUCCUUAGAAGAGUUCCAGAAGAUUAGUCAGCUAAACCUGACAAGGCUUCUGGGAAGCUGGAAAGGACUUGGCUCAGCAUAUUAGGAACUAAGUGAUGAUGACAACCCCGUGGAUUUGUUCACUCCAUCCUAAAGAGGACUUCCCGUCAUAGUACUUUGUGCAUGGAUUUAGGAAAAUUUGAAUGAUUCAAGUAGAGAUCCAUGCGUCUCUCUGCCAUGUACUCCCAGAGGGAGCUGCAAUCAAAACUCCAGGGAUGGAAAGCCAGAGACAGAACCACAUGGAUGAAGCUCUGCAUUGCUCGAGAAUACCUCCUUCAGACACAUCAUCUUCUUCCCCUGCACUUGACUUUCACGUACUUGAUUCUGGCAGUGGCAUUAUGAAGAACUACAGGACUGAAGCAGUAAUGACACUGCAUUCCCUGCAGAACAAAGAGCUGCUUCUGCCACGCUGUGCGUUGUGUUCCAUGACAGGCUUAUCCAGCAGAACCAGGGAAUAACCUAACCGGACCGAGACUGCAAAGAAGGAUCAAGUGGAGGAGAGCUGCACUAAUCAGAAGACACGCUGUCUGGGAAGCAAGCCCAUUUUGUUCUUCCAGAAUCCCUCCCACUGCAAGCACCAGACCUCAAAAUGACCCAGAGAAAGCCUCUCCAAUCCAAGCAAUUUAAAUGCAAUGAAUGUGAUUUGGCUUCUAGUUAGUUCCCUUGGAAGUAAUGAAAGAGGUAAUUAAAGACUGGACAACUACCUUAAGUAAAACAUUACACCUUAGAUGAAAAAACAUUUCAGAAAAAACUGUUUGGAGGCUGUGAAAGCCAACUCCAUGCCUGCCUGAGUGGGGAACACAGCAUCUUUCUGUAGGUCCCACCACACUUCCACACACAAGCUGUGAAAAGAUCAGGUAAGUGGUAAGAUUUUCCUACACUGUCCUUUCCACCAACAUUACUUCUGACUGCAAGCUGCAGUUUUUCCUCAUCCAGUCCUCCUAUGCUGUCCUGAAACACUUGCCCUGAACUUCUAGCAGAAGAGUCAGGGAAAAGAAAAUGCUGAAACUACGUUUUACAGAUAAUGACUUGCGUCUGGAGAAAGUGGAUCACCCUGGCUAAAAGGUCUGACACAGAGAGAGUGAAAAAGAGUCACCCAGGAGUGCCUUCGACAAGUGAAUUUGAUUAGCGCCUUGCUUUUGAGAAAGCACAAGUAUUACCAGCCCCAAAGAAUACGUCCUAACAAUUUAGUGGACGGUGCUUCUGUGAUAAGAACAGAACAGGUAGUAAAUUUCUUCUCCGAAUUAAAGUGGAACAACAUCUGCUGUUCAGUCAACAAACAGUGCCUUCUAUAAGAUCCUAAAAGCAGUUUCUCAAAAAAAAAAAAAGUAAAAUACCCCAAACCACUUUAAGUAUAUUUACCAAGGUGAAGAUAAAAAGCAGCAUAACUCUAUCUGCGCACACAUCAGAGCAACAACCCAACCACCACAUAAUUUUAUUAAAGCACAUAGGGAGUGCUCAACUAAACUCUCUAUAGUAAUUCUGAGUAUGUCUUUACUCACUCAACAUUUGUCCAUAAACAAUGGGUGCCUAUGAUCAGUUGAAGUGAGCAGUACCAGGACUAAUUCAUUUACAGCAUUCAACUUCAACCCUUGCAGUUAAUUCUACACUACAGACUGCUUUACCAGCCCAUAGCACAUCUUAACUAGAACAGGGACUUUGAAAUGCAGUUUUGCUCUACCACCAGCAAUUAUUUCUGUCCUUAUGGUAUGCUUUAUCAGCUGCAUAUGAAGCAUAAGGAACUCAUGGAAUCUCAGAAAAAGCAAACAUCACAGUAGAUCUUUGUAAGCAAGCUUAAUGCUAUGACGCAAUGGAAAAUACAGCAAUAAUAGCAGGAUGACACAACUCUAGGCUGCAGCAAAUGAGAACAAGCUCAAAAAACAACAGCUAUAAAUGCAGAAACAAAAGAAGAAAAACUGCUUACCUGUAGAAGACCCUCAGUAGACAGGAACCUCCAACAGAAGAUACCUUUACCUCCGCUGCCAACCCUUAAAUGAGGUCUGGGAGGGGAAUGGAUCCUGGCUCCACCCCUUCUCGUCACUCAGGAGCAUUGCAUGCACCUGAGCUCCCCUGGAUUGGCCCUGCCUUCCCACCAGGUGCUCAAUCACCGUUUCAGGUCAUGACAUUUCCACUACAUCAGGUCUGUAUAACUGCCAACUAAACCAGGACAACCGUCUUCCAUGUCAAUCUUUUUCAAUCCUCCAUUCUUACUAGUUGAUCAUACCCUUUCUACCUGCAAAUCCUGACCCUUAUUUGAGAUAAAAUAACGCAGUCCUGGAAAGUUCACAUGUUCAGUGCCUCAAGGAUCCACAUCAAAGAAAAUACUUGCUGUAUUACCCCAUGAAAAGAGGGAAGGGUCAACAACAUUCCUCUGAUGACAAGACACCUUAAAAACUGUUUUGUCGUGGUACUGAUACUGUACUUAAAUGGGGACUGCCAAUGCAUACAAAGGAAACUGAGUAAACACAGGCUUUGCAGGGAGGAAUUGCUGUUACUGUCUUCUGUAGUGUUUGUAGGAUGCAGCUGUCAUGGUUACAAGUUCUUAUGUCUCAAGCUUUUGUGCGUGAUUGUGGUUCCUCUCUCUCUACUUUGAACUGAGACUGAUUGCAAGAGUGACUGUUCCUUGGUCAACCACCGUGCUGUGCCUUUAAUAUCACCAGGAGGAUCAUGAGUAACAAGGAAAUAGAUUGAGUUUUCAGUGUUGUAACUGUGGGACUGCAGGCCAGUGCAGCAGUGCAAUGAAAACACGGUUAAUGUCCUCUCGAAAUUCUCCAGGUAUGAGUGUUUUGGAGAACUAUCGUUUGAAGAAUGCAGCUGCUUUUCACUGGUUGGUAUCUACAUGUGUAUGGAGUUCUGUGCAGUGGUUGAAUGUGCAGCGCUUCGAGACCUUUCGGUACGUGGGGAGAUUAAGGAACCACAGAGCUUGAGAGAGAGGAGUUUGCAUCUCUUGUGAGAAUUCUGAUAUCCCUGUGUUCAUAUAUGUUGAUAUUCUCUUCUGAAUGGUGACCUGUUUACGUAGGAUGGAGCCUAAAGACCCAAAGACCCUGGAUAUCCUUGGACUGAGUUGCUUAAGGACACGUUGCUUUCCAAAGACCCUGAAGAAUGGUGCACUACCAAGGAUUUUUCAGUCCUAGGUUUCUGCUGUGAACCACAUUUGCUCUUGAUCUGAGGGGAUACAGGUGCUACUACAGUCAUCUUCUCAUCUCCUCCUCCACACAGCUUUCCUCCCUGGAAGCUGGAACACAAUCAGCGGAGUUAAUAUGGGUGAAAAUAAACGGAAAACUGUGUUUUUUUUUCCCAGGAUUUGCAGAUGCUGUGACAGGCUGCCUUGGUUAGGAAACAUCAGAAGUGUAAUCAUAUUAAUAGAAUCAUUUUCUUAUGCAUGUGGAAAUGGAGAUGAUGUGUCAUUUACAAGUGAAUGAAGACUCAACACUGGCAACUGCUGGACUGCAUAAUAUGGUCAUAAAAUGCUUCAGUUAUAAUAAGUCUAAGAAAUUAUUGCACAGCUGUAACACAACUGUGGAGAUUAGUAGAGAGUUUCAAUAGAUUUUUAGGUUCUCUCUUUUUAAAAAUACCUUUCAUCCUCAAUGCAGCCUGAUUGCAUAUGGUAUCUGGCAUGAAGGCAAGAAGCAACUACAGCAAAGUCUUGCAGAGAAAACGCUAGCAUUUUUGGAUGUGCUGACAGUGUAUUUCCAGGAGGUGAAGAAAUUCCAGAAGGCAAAUGAUGGGAUGAAAGACAGGAUCAUGGUAUAGACUUUACUCAGAGAUGGAAAUCUGAAGAAAUCAAUUCCUCCCUUCCCUGAGAAUUUAUGACUAUAUUUUUCACAUUCUCUUGGCUAUUUCAAUCAGAGUUUGAUCACAGGUAGAGACAAAGAGUCUGUGCAGCCAUCUGUCCUGCUGUGAUGGCUUGUGUUGCAUUACUCCUGCCCUCAGGUAAAAGCAAGAUCUAGCUGUUCAUUGCAGGGGAGUUGGACUAGAUGACCUUCCAACUCAAAUGAUUCUAUCAUUCUAUUAAACUGAUGACUUGGGACACUAGUCCCAUAUGACUGGGACAAAGACAUUUGGGAGGGAUAUGGUGGGUAGAUCUGCCCGUACUGAGAAUAUUUUAUUUCCCUCCUUACUCAAGGCAAGAAAAUUACUUCCGAAGACAUAUAUUCAUUCAUAUACAACUUCCUCUUGGCAGUUAACUGAAUUCUGGUCCUGGCUGACGCAGUAGGUUCUCCCAGCCAUGGAAAAUCCCUGAAGUGUAUUCUUAAAUGUGUCUCCAAGGGAAGGAGACAUGACAGCUGAAGAGGCACACAAGCAAUAAUUUGACUUUUACAAGGAGAAGAAAAGAAGGCAUCAUUGUGAAGAAGUCCCAGUUUUUAUAUGCAUUAUAACCAGCACUCCCAGGCUAUCAGCACACACAAAUAAACCUAUGUGAAUUGCACAGUAAAGCUUUAGUGGUAAGAUCUGCACUAGUUUGGUCAUAUCCUUACCUGAUAUUAAUCAAAACUGUACAGAGCAUAUUCUCUAGCUGUGCAAAUUUACUCUGGUGGAAGAUUCAGCCCCAUGUUUUUUGCUUUGCUUUGAGAUUAUGACAUGUUAGAUUUAUUGGCUCAUUUGCUACAGUAAAUGAGAGUUUCUGGGCUGAGACAUUCAAUAGCAGAGUGGUGAAUGGACUGGCUGAGGAACAGGACAGGAAUAAAGACAGAACAUUUGUUCUGAAAGACAGAACCCAGUCCUCACGUCUCUCCUAGUUCAUCAUUACUGCUUUCCACAUCCUGUGAAAAUACUCUGCUUUAAGACUUGAAACGAGCAAAGGCAUUUGUUCCUUAAAUGGGAAGUGUUGUAAUGGAAUGGAUUUGACAAUCUGUGGAACACACCGUAGAGUUUUAUUGAAGUGGACUAGCUGAAUGGAAAAGGAUUAUCUAAUUUCUGUGCUAAGAACUGAAGCGUGAAGUGUGCAACAGAUUACAAAGAUGCUUGUAUAGGGUAUGACAGUGCUUGGUUUUACAGUUACCUGCUGCUCUGUAUGGAGAUCUCCAGACGUGAGCUGGGAAUCAUGAGAAUUUGAGGAACUUGUGCCAGAAAGCGUAGGCUCCUGAAAGAAAUGAUUAAAAAAUAUCUUACUCAUUUAUUAUGUACUUAAGAUCAUAAGUAUAUAUAGACAGAUAAGACGUGAUGACUUUGUGUGUGAGAAUAAUAUGAAGUGGAGGAGCACAAUGACCAUGUGUAAUAAAUGGGAAAAAUAUUUUUCUCAUUUAAUUCCUGACUCAGAAUUUAAAUUUUUUGGUAGAUCAUUAACAAGUGGCCACUUCAGUAAGGAUGAAAUCUGCGUAAAACAAGUUUCAGAGGUAAGGUUUCACAGAAUAUUUUAGAGCAUCUGGAGAUAAGCACCUCUUACUCUUUUAAGUACAAUGCUUCUGGUACCAUAAAAUGAUUUACACCAUGUUCUCAUAUUUACAGUUGCUGUGACAAACUGUUUUAAGGCAUACAAUAAAGCUUUCUAUCAAGGCUGGC
ensembl:lncRNA